AGGACGAACGCUGGCGGCGUGCCUAACACAUGCAAGUCGAACGCGCUCCAUUCGGUAGCAAUACUGAUGAAGAGCGAGUGGCGAACGGGUGAGUAGCACGUGAGCAACCUGCCCCGAAGACUGGGACAACACCGGGAAACCGGUGCUAAUACCGGAUAUCCCUAUUGGAUCGCAUGAUCCGAUAAGGAAAUGUUUUUCGCUUCGGGAGGGGCUCGCGGCCUAUCAGCUAGUUGGUGGGGUAACGGCCCACCAAGGCAUCGACGGGUAGCUGGUCUGAGAGGACGAUCAGCCACACUGGGACUGAGACACGGCCCAGACUCCUACGGGAGGCAGCAGUGGGGAAUCUUGCGCAAUGGGCGAAAGCCUGACGCAGCAACGCCGCGUGGAGGACGAAGGCUUUCUGAGUUGUAAACUCCUUUCAGCAGGGCGAUUGUGACGGUACCUGCAGAAGAAGCACCGGCCAACUACGCGCCAGCAGCCG
rnacentral:rRNA from 1 species